ensembl:lncRNA
AGAAGCAGGUGGUUGUGUUGGGAUGGUGGAGCAGCAUUGGUGCCUUCUACUGUCCCUCUGAUCCAUGCAUGGAAACCUGGAGUUAUGAAUACCAAAAACUUUCAGUUGCAUGGAGUACACUGAAAACAAGCAUAGCACAUAGGCUUAAAAAAGUAUGUGAAGCUGAACUGGCCAGAUCUUUCCUCAUACCAUGAGAUGAGCUAGAGACACCAAUGAUGUAGCACCAGAUCUCCACCAGGGGACGAGCACUGCAGCUGACUUCACUGUUUGCAUGGAAAUGAAUCAGAUGUUGAUCCUGCAGCCUUGUGGUGGGUGUAGUGGUUGCGUGGCUGGCAGCCUUCUCCAGGCAAUGUGAGGUCACAUAAGGCAACCAAAUGGACUCUGGUCUCUGUUGUGUGUCCUAAGUAGCUUUUACUUUAAUCUGUCUUUUCUGUGUUCAUGACUGCUGCUGUCUGAUCCCUCCCUUGGAUAGAUCAUCAACCCUCACAAUUUUCCAAGAUUUGCACCAGAUUUUGACUUAUUUCUCCAAGCUUUUGCUUCCUUAAUUAAAAAUCACCUCAAGAGUAAAACACCUAAAUAUGCACUAUGUAUAGGUGUCUACGUGUGCAUAAGAUAUCUAAGAUUUUGUCAUGAUCAGUAAAGGUCCAGCCCACAGGAUCAAUGAAGCUGAAAGAAGGACUCGGUGACCAGCUUUGAGUACCUACUCUGAGAGUGAACGACUGAAUGUCUACCUCCACUGCAACUUCCAUUGCAAUGUAGUGUAAUGUCACUAGUGACAAAGGAGGGAAUGUUGUUGCUUAAAACUAGUCUAGUGCUGUCUGAGACCUCCUAGGAAAUCUAAAACAUCUUCAGUGGAUUGGCCAAUAUUACGGAGAGCAGCAAAUGGAGACUAGACCAAAUACUCCAUAGAGCCUGGAAAGUCACGGGACAUGUCAUCCUCCAUCUGCAGGACUUUAGACAUACAACACACAAAUAAACAGCUACAUUUAGGUAUCUUACUAUAACAAGGUGUAUUCAGCUGUCUGAAAUACUGCUGGAUGCCCUACAUGGGCUCUCCUUGUGGAUCCUGGGCGUCUCAAAGGGUACUCAGUUUUGGCAGCUGCCCCUAUCUCAUCAUGUUUGCAAAGUGCCAGAGUGUUAUCUUGGCUGAUUAAUCUGCCAUGCAUCUCCUCAAACAGUGUUAUUUGUUUUUGUGGUAUGUUGUUUCUUUCCUUCUCCCUACUGAGAUAAUAAAGGAGCUUUCUAUUUUCUCACUG